AUGCAAAAUCAGAUAGUUAGAUUGAAAACUAAAUUUGAUAUUUUGAAAGUAAACAAAAAUCUAAUUAAACGUAAAAUCUUAACUGUCAAAUCUUGAUCGGACAUUCGAUAUAUACUGACUGCAUGGAGUUUGAUGGACGGGAUUGAUUCCCAAAAUUCAAUUUUUUUUGACAAAAAUCUUUAAAAAUAUGUAACAUUUUUAUUUGCCUCAUUUUUUUCAAUUCCACUUUCCCUCUUCUUCAAUUCCACUUUCCCUCUUCUAUAAAAAUUGAAGCGCGUGUUUUAUUUUUCUUCCCCCUUCUUUUUUAGUUUCUUUAAUUUCCCCAAAUUGAAACUAAUCUCACUGAAACUUACCUCUCAAAUUUUUUCCUCUUCUCUCUGUUAAAACCCCAAAUCUUUUAUUUUAAUUUUAUUAGGGUUUGAACUAUUGUUGUAUUCUAAAGUAUUGCAAGAUUAAACAUCUUGUGAAGGAAAGGAUGUGGAACUACUCUUUCUUUUUAGGGUUUCGAUUCAACAAUUUAGUUUUUUCUUUUCUAUCGAUCGAGGUUUAGCAUUUGAAUUAGGGAUUUGCUUUUUCAAAUGGAGGACAGUGAACUUGAUUUCUCACCGCUGGGUUUGCGUUCAUCUUCCUCUCGUCGUUGGGUUUGCAUUCAUAUCUCUCGUCUUUGGGUUUACAUUCAGCUUCUUUCACCAGUGAUUAUAUGCAGGUCAUGUUAGAAGGCUUAAAUAGUCAAGAGUUAGAGAGAAGGGAACCAAGGUAUUUUCAAGGGUGAUUAAUAGAGGAAGGAAGGAAUAAGAAGCAAGGAUCUAGGAGUUCAUUUCAAUUUUCCAUCUAUUUCGUUUGAGGGGCUGGUGUUAUUCUUUGCAUUGAAAAGGCAAUAGCUAAUUCUUGUGUUUCAAGGGAGGAUUUGAACUAGAUAAAUGCACGUGCCACAACCACACCUGCUGAAGAUCUUAAGGAGUACCAUGUUUUGAUUCAUUGUUUUGGCCAAAAUCCUAAGGAGAUUCAUCCAAGUGGUGAGGAAGGUCAUGUAAUGUUAAUUUAUAAGGGACACAUUUGGAUUAGAAUCUCAAGCUUCCACUAUCAAAGAAUCUUUGAAAUCAUGGCCUUCAAUUUCUAUUGACGUGGUAUCUACAUAUAAAGUUGCUGCUAAGGAGGCUAAGAUUGAAGCAUUAACCGUUGAUGGGUGAUGAAGUUUAGCUUUCUUUGAAGUAUUUUUGUUAAAUCAAUUAUAUGUAUUUUUGUGUAGUUGACAACUUUAAGUUUGAUAUUGUUUAGUGUCAUAGUGGUGCACUUGAUUGUUACUUUGUAAGAAUGACAUAUAUAUUUGGUGUCAAUCCAAAAUUGAUUUUCUCAUA